GAUGGACUGAGUUCGAAGGAGAAUUUUCUUAGUGUCAUUGCUAUUGCCAUUUUUGCUUCCAUCAUUGCAAAGUUUUGUCCAAUGCAAAUUCGAGGUCCCCCGGCAAAUGGGAUAUAUGAGAAUUGUUCUUUGGUUGCCUUCGACACUCCUUCACUGAAACUUUCUGGUUUGAAUUCUUUUGCGUCUUUACCCCAUAUUUCCUUAUCAUAAUGUACUAGGACUAGGGGUGGUAAAUAGGCUGUUUGGGUCGAAUUUGAGUGUAUCAAAAUGGGUUAAAACAAUAAAUGGGUCAUUUACCCAAUCAGUCCAACCUAACCCAUUAUUGAAUAAUUUAUCUUUUUUUUUUUGGGGGGGUUUCUCAAGGUCCCCACAGCCGGCAGCCGUGAGACUAAUCCUUCGUUCCACAGUCAGUGCACUAAGCAGUAGGUAACUGGACACAGAGUUUCACAAUCAGCGCACUAAUCAGUAGGGAACUGAUCACAGAGUUUUCUCCAUUCACCAGAGGUGGUGGCAGCCGUGAGACUAAUCCUCCAUUCCACAGUCAGUGCACUAAGCAGUAAGGAACUGGCCACAGAGUUUUCUCCAUUCACCAAAGAUGGGAUCAAAUCCCCAACCUCUUGCUUAAGGGGUGAGGUGUUGAACCACCACACUAACCCUUGUGGUUAUUGAAGAAACUUAGAUUGGAAUGAUAUCAUUCUAAAAGAAACUUAGAUUGGAAUGAUAUUUUUAAUUUUCUUUUUAUAUUUAUAUUUAUAUUUAUAUUGUUAUUAUUAUUAUUUUCAAAUAAAAAUAAAAUAUAAAAUAUAAAAAAAUAUAAUAAAAAUAUUUAUAUAAAUAUUUAACCCAAAAUAAUGAUAAUGAAUAUGAUAAGAGAGGUGGAAAAAAGCAAAAAAAUUCUAAAAUANNNNNNNNNNNNNNNNNNNNNNNNNNNNNNNNNNNNNNNNNNNNNNNNNNNNNNNNNNNNNNNNNNNNNNNNNNNNNNNNNNNNNNNNNNNNNNNNNNNNNNNNNNNNNNNNNNNNACUUUGAUUUUUUUAAAAAUUUCCUUGAAAAAUAUAAAGUUUUUAUUGGGGGAGAGGGUUAGGGGGUGGGUAGGGGUCGGGGUAGUGUGAUGGUGUAAGAAAAAAUUAUUUUUAAAAAAAUAUAAAUUAAAAAAAAUAUUUUAGUAUAUCUCCUUUUUAAUAUAAUAAAGUUCAACAUUUUGAAAAAUGACUAUAGUUAAUGAAGUAAUAAAAAUAUAAUAGAAACUAAGUGUUAAUUAUCUUUUAAUUCUUUAAAUUAAUAGAGGUAGAAAUGACAUCUAUUUUUUUUUUAACAUAGUAGACAAGAAAAUAUAAAUAAAAGAAGUAUAUUUGAGUAGCAAAGAAAAUAUACCAAAAAUUUCAUCAUAGCAUUAUCUACUAUAGGAUAUGGCAUUGUCUAGUUUGGGUUGGAGGAGUCUGCUAAUGCUACUAUUGAGAAGCUUAAACGCACCAUGGUUGGAGACAAGCUGUUGUAAGCAUUUCCAUACAUCCCUUGCAAUUUUUGACUAUAGUGGAAUUUUUUCUUGAAAUUAUGGCCUUUUAGGCGUCGAACUUGCAAAUUUGACACUUUACUAAGCUACUAGGUUUUGUAGCUAUAGCCAAUUCAUAACAUCACCAAAUAUUACAUUCCAAACUGGCAGCCAAGUAAUACAAAGAGUAUGAUAUAGACAGUUUAUACCAAUACAAGCGUUAAUGGUGGGGUAGGGGAGGGGGGCUGGGUUGGUCGGGGUAGGGGGAGGUGGGUGGGAAAAAAUUGAUUUCUUUUUUAAAUAAUAUAUAUUUUAGAAAAUAUUUAAUUUUUUGCGGUUGGGUAGGUGUAGGGGAUGGUGUAAGAAAAAAAAUCAUUUUUCUUUAUUCAAAAAAUUAUUUAUUACUACAAUUAUUCCAAGGCGAAAGAAGAAUAUAAUUGAAGCAAUUACAAAAAUAAAAAAAUAAUAAACACUAGAAUUUAACAUCUUUAUGCAUCAAAGUUGGGCAUCAUCAUGAGCCCAUUUAGAUUGAUGAUUUAUGAUAGGAAAUUGCAUGUCAUAGACCCAAAUAUGGGCUGCUUUAGAUAUUUGACCUCAAUAAGAAAUAUCUUUAAAAAAUAACUUUCAUUACUUUUUAAGCAUAGUACAAGUACCAUUUUGUCCUUCUACACCUCAAAUAUAUUUUUUAAACUUUCCAUACUUAUUUCUCUCACAAAUUUUAUUUUUUAUUAUUUUUACUUUUUAUUUUUUUUAAUUUUAUUAUUCUAUUUUUUAUUAUUUUCACUUUUUAUUUUUUAUUUUAAUUUUAUUUUUAUUUUUUAAUUCAUUUUUUUUUAACCUUUAUUUUUUCUCUUUUUUCUUUUUUUUUCCGAAGCAUUAUCUAUUUCUUUUUUUCCUUUUUUUAAUUCAUUUGUCUUUAACCUUUAUUUUUCUUUUAUUUUUUAUUUUUAUCAGUUAUCUUUUUUUCCCCUCAUUUUUCUCAAACUUUAUUUUUAUUUUUUCCUCUCAUUUUUUAUUUUCUCAAUUUUUUUAAUUCUUUGCUUUUUUCUUAAUCUUUUUUUUAUUUCUCUAUUUUUUUGAUCGUUUUUUUUUUCUCUUUUUCUCAACUUUCAUUAUAUUUUGCUAAUAGAUAAAAAAAUUGGAUAAUCCGCAAAGGUACCUUCUUUUUUUAACAUCAAAGCAAAUUUAAGGGCAUGAAUUGUUGUUAUGAAGUUCUUGAAAAUUCUUGAGAUAAGUCGUGUCUCUAAGGUGAAAGUUGUAGAAUAUCUCAUAAAUAAAGACAUAAUGUGGUAGUGUCAACUCUUGCUCAUUGACCGUGGGGCAUAAUUUAUUAUUUGAAAGUCCUUGAGCUAAGUCUUGCCUCUAAGGCAAGAGUUGUAGAACAUUCCAUAAAUGAAGACAUAACGUGGUAGUGUCAACCCUUGCCCAUGGAACAUAAUUUGUAGUUUGAAAGUAUUUGAGCUAAGUUUUGCCUCUAAGGCAAGAGUUGUAGAACAUCUCAUAAAUGAAGACAUAACGUGGUAGUGUCAACUUUUGCUCGUGGGUCAUAAUUUGUAGUUUGAAAGUCCUUGAACUAAUUAAGUCUUGCCUCUAAGGCAAUAGAUGUAGAACAUCUCAUAUAUGAAAACAUAACAUGGUAGAGUCAACUCUUGCCCGUGGGGCAUAAUUUGUAGUUUGAAAGUCCUUGAACUAAUUAAGUCUUGCCUCUAAGGCAAUAGUUGUAGAACAUCUCAUAAUGAAAAUAUAACGUGGUAGAGUUAACUAUUGCCCGUGGGGCAUAAUUUGUAGUUUGAAAGUCCUUGAGUCAAGUCUUGCCUCUAACGCAAAAGUUGCAGAACAUCUCAUAAAUGAAAACAUAAUGUGGUAGAGUUAACUCUUUUUCGUGAGGCAUAAUUUGUUGUUUGAAAGUUCUUGAGCUAAGUCUUGCACUAACGCAAUAGUUGUAGAACAUCUCAUAAAUAAAAACAUAAGUGGUAGUGUCAACUCUUGCCUGUGGGGCAUAAUUUGUUAUUUGAAAGUCCUUAAGCUAAGUCUUGCCUCUAAGGCGAUAGUUGUAGAAAAUCUCAUAAAUGAAAACAUAUCGUGGUUGAGUCAACUCUUGCCCGUGGGGCAUAAUUAGUUGUUUGAAAGUUCUUGAGCUAAGUCUUGCCCCUAAGACAAUAGUUGUAGAACAUCUCAUAAAUAAAAACAUAACGUGGUAGAGUCAACCCUUGCCCGUGGGGCAUAAUUUAUUGUUUGAAAGUCCUUGAGCUAAGUCUUGCAUCUAAGGCAAUAGUUGUAGAAUAUCUCAUAAAUGAAAACAUAAGGUGGUAAAGUCAACUCUUGCCCGUGGGGCAUAAUUUGUUGUUUGAAAGUCCCUGAGCUAAGUCUUGCCUCUAAGGUAAGAGUUAUAAAACAUCUCAUAAAUCAAAAUACAAUGUGGUAGUGUCAACUCUUACCCAUGAAACAUAACUUGUUGUUUGAAAGUCAUAAGUCUUGUCUCUAUAAUGUAGUAGUUUCAACUCUUGCCCAUGAAACGUAGCUUAUUGUUCGAAAGUCGUAAGUCUUACCUUUAUAAUGUGAUAGUGUCAACUCUUGCUCAUGAGGUGUAACUUGAAUUAACUUGUAGUUUGAAAGUCAUAAGUCUUGUCUCUAUAAUGUAGUAGUUUCAACUCUUGCCCAUGAAACGUAGCUUAUUGUUCGAAAGUCGUAAGUCUUACCUUUAUAAUGUGAUAGUGUCAACUCUUGCUCAUGAGGUGUAACUUGAAUGAAAGAAAUCGAAGAAAAGAACAAAAAUAAUAAAAAUUGCGGAAAAAGAAGAAAAUGAAAAAAAUAUUUAAGAAAUAAAAAUCAAAGAAAAUGUACAAGUUGAGAGAGAAUAGAAAAAAAAUAAAGGUUGAUAAAAAAAAGAUUAAAUAAAAAUAAAGGUCGAGAAAAUUUUAAAAAGAAAAAAUUAAAGUAAUAAAAGAAAAUUCUUUUAUAAAAAUAGACCUUGAAAGGUGUAAAGAAAAAAAAGUAGGGGUUGAGAAAAACUAAAAAGAACAAAAAAGAAGAGGAAAGAAAAGAAAAAAAAAAUAUAAAAGAAAAAAGAAAAAAAAGAAGUUGAGAGGAAAAAAGUAAGUGUUGAGAAAACUAAAAAUAAAAAGGGAAAAGAAAAAAUAAAAAUCAAAGUAAAAUUAAAAAGAGAAAAAAAAAAGUUAAAAAAUAUAAAUAUGGAGUUGUUAUCCAUUAUGAAGAUCAUUUAUGUAAUUUACUCCAUUGAUCAGGUGUAAUUUUAUCCAAAAAAAAAAACAAUAUUAGUUAAUAGGUAAAGGUUAUUUUUAGAAAACUUUUUUAUUUGAGGCUAAAAUUUAAAAAUUAUAUCAAUUUGGGUCUAUUUUUGAGAUUUGCCCAAUUUAUGAUGAUUCACUUGAGCUAGUCCAAAUCAUUCCAUCUUCAAAAUCACUCUAGUCCAAUCCAUUAAAACAUGAACGAAUUGAACGGGAUUGAGGGAAAGAUAUUACGAUGAUAAAAAAAAAUGACUGGCAAAAGAUAAAUUGGCUAGUUCUCAUUAUUUAAUUAAGAAAUCCAAUUGUUGGUCAUUAAAGAAUACAAAAGAAAGAAUUUCCAAUUUACAAGAUAUGAUCUAUCGAUUAACCUCUGGAUUUGAAAUCACUGCUUAUAUACCCGGUAUUGGCCAUAAUUCACAAGAACAUUCUGUAGAAGGUAAGAGGGGGAAGGGUUAAGGAUUUACCCGGUGUGAGAUAUCACAUUGUUCGAGGAACCCUAGAUGCUGUCGGAGUAAAGGAUCGUCAACAAGGGCGUUCUAGUGCGUUGUAGAUUCUUAUCCAGGACUUGUAUCAUUUGAUGAUGCCAUAGAUCUUUUUCCCUUACUCUUUAAUAUCAUCGUAAUUUUUUUGCUAUCACUCUAGAUCGUAUAUAACAUAGUUGUAUAUUUAGAUUCCCCUAUUCUAUUCCCUAAGUUAAGUAAUUCCACCCACCAUAUACAUUUUUUCAUUGCUGUGGGCUAAGCUAAAAAAGACUAUUUCAAUGAUGGCCCUCCAUGGAUUCACCUAUAUAAGCCGCGGCUAAAGUUGCAAAAAUAAGAGCUUGAAUACCACUUGUAAAUAAUCCAAGGAGCAUAACAGGUAUAGGAACUACUAAGGGUACUAAAGAAACAAGAACAACAACUACUAAUUCAUCAGCUAAGAUAUUCCCGAAAAGUCGAAAACUAAGUGAUAAGGGUACCACUCCAGCUGGUUGAUUUAGCUCUCCUAGUCUCACUUCAUCUUUCGUCCUUCUAUUAGAUGUGGGUAAGGGGGAAAUAGCCUUAAUGUCACGUACAAGAUGGUUACCUGUGAAUUAAAAAACUAUUGCAUAAGUUGGCAGUAACAUUAGGUGUUUGGAAAAGCUUUGACCAAGUAUUUCUUAGUCAUCCUGAAAUCUUUUCUAUUAUGAAGUUCAGUUUCUUUCAAAUUGGAUUCGAGUAAUAUGCCUAAUAAGUCAACUUUACUAGUCUCCCCUCCUUCCAUUGUUCUCAACCUUUUGUCAAUGAUGCACCUUAUUAUCGUUUGAUUUUCCUUUUCAAUUUCCAUCAUUCUUUUGUUCUUUUUAAUAGGCAACAACCUAUAUAAACAAAUUUAAUCAAACAAGGAAGGUCGUUUUAGUAGAAAGGCAGAGCACAUAUUUUUCAUAUUGAAUUUUUGAAUGCAGAAAUGUGAUGUGCAUAAAUUAUUGCACCUUAAUCCUGGUAUAUAAAUUGAACUCCUUUUUUGACUACAUACUCAGCUUGUUCUUUCUGAAGUUCAAAAACUAUUCUUCUUUCUUCAUAGCUACUCCCAAAUGCAGUGCGAAAAAUGACUUCACUACUCUUCUUUUGAAGGUCUCGUCAUACAUCGAGUUCGACUGAUGUUUCCUUUGGAACAAUCUCCUCCUAUUUGCUUAUCAUUUCACUACAACUUACAUAAAAUAUUGGUAGCAUAUGCUAUAAACAAACGAAAAAAAAACGGCAAGUGCUUGUUAAGGCAUCCAAUAAGCAAUCCUUAAGUCAAAGACAUGUACAAUUUACCAUGUUUUAUAAAGGCAUAGUACAUAAACGUACUCUUUAACUUGGCCUCAAUUGGCAUCUAAGUCAUCUUACUUUGAUUAAGCACAAAUAGAUACUUAAACUUAUAUAAAGUUGAAUAAACAAAUGCACACGUCCUAUGUGACAAUUAGCGUGAAAUACCAUGUAGGACACCACACAAGACGUCUGUAUCUACUGGUUCAACUUUAUACAAGUUUAAGUGUUUAUCUGUACAUACCCAAAGCUAAAGGACAGAGAUAUAAACUGAGGUCAAGUUAAAAGACACGUUUAUGUAUUGUGCCUUUGCUAAAUUUGUUAUUCGCUCUGAUUCAAUUUAUUGUUUUAUUUACCUUUUUAGUCUGUUUAAAAACGAACGUCACUUUCUAUAUUUAGUAAAUUCUUUAAUUCCAAUAUGUCCAACUACAAGAUAUAAAAAUCUAUCUUAUUUUCUUAAAUUUCGUGUCCCAUCAAACUAAGAUACAUAAAAUAUUACGGAGGGAGUCAUAAGUAGAGACUUCAACUUUUCAAGAUGGAAAGUAGAUUGAUGAUUUUUCUGUGCUUGGCCCAUUUGUCUCCCUCAAUGUUUGCAAGACCUUGAAGGAAUAACUUGAACAAUGGGUUAGAAUGAGUUUGCUUUAGAUAUACACAGAAGUCUUUGUGAAAAUCUCCUUCACAUGUAUAGGAUCUGUGAUCAACACUAUUGAUAUGGGCCUACCACCACAAAAGAAUUUUUACCUGCCAGUAAUAGUCACUUUGGGUUAGAAAAUUUUGAAGGGGCAUGUAAAGGCAUGAAGGGAGUAGUUUCUUAAAGUACUUGUUUUUGCGGGAAGGAGAAAUAGAGGAGAGGAUUACAUGGUGGAAAAUUAAACCUUGACUAAUAAGGUGAAAAUUCAUAUGAUAUAACUAAGUAAGUUAUUAGAGUUUUACUCUCCCAAUUUCAAUUUAUUUGUCAUGCUUUUGUUUUUAGUCCAUUUAAAAGAAACUUCUCUUUUCUUUUUAGCUAACUUUUUAAUUCUAAACUUUUCACAUGACAUGUUCGAAAGUAAAAGAUUAUAUUAAAGGAUAUUUUGAUACAUUUAAGUUUUGAUAUAUCUUUAAUUUAAGAUCACACAGUUUAAAUUUUUAUUUUACUUUAACUCAAAAUUAAACAAAUCAAAUUGAUGGUAAUAUUAAGUAUAUAUAUAUAUANNNNNNNNNNNNUGAGAAACACUCCAUUUUUGUUGAUGGCAUUCAGGAAAAGGGGAAUGAACCUGUGAGCUAUAUGAAACUUAGGGGUCAUUUGUUAGAGUGUAUUGGCAAAAAUAAUGUAUGUAUUAAUUAAUGUAUAUUAUGAAUACCUUGUUUGAUACCAUUUUUAAUCAAUGUAUAACUAAUGCAAGCAUUAGUUAUACACUCUAUUGUGUAUUAAGGUGUGAAUUACUAAUACCACCCAUUUUCUAUGUAUUAGUAAUGCAAAGUCUUUGAUACAUGCAUUAACUUAUUAAAUGACCUUAAUNNNNNNNNNNNNNNNNNNNNNNNNNNNNNNNNNNNNNNNNNNNNNNNNNNNNNNNNNNNNNNNNNNNNNNNNNNNNNNNNNNNNNNNNNNNNNNNNNNNNNNNUCUACAACAAUGAAUAAUUGAUUUAAAUAAUUGUAACAUAUUUUUUCUUUGCUUCGAGGGUCUUUAAAAAGAUUAAAAAAAUUGAGACUAUUUCUUAAUUUUAUGUCUUAUAUUUUAUUUUUGUUUCGACUAUGUUAAUCCUUUGGCAUAAUAUUUCAUGUGCAAAGACGAAGGUCUUUCAAUUAAUCCGAAACCUCUAUAUACUAGUUCAACAAUACUAAUUAUAUUUGAGAUGGCAAAAAGAUUUUGUUGCAAAAAAGUGUACAAAAUCAAAGAAGGGUAUUUAUAAACAAACAUUUCUUUUAUAGAAAUUAUGUAAGAUGUAUUAUUUCUUAUACAUCAAACCAAACAAUGUAUAAGAAAUAAUACAUGCAUAACUAAUACAAGCAUUACUAAUACAUUAUAUUUUGCAUUGAUCUUAUACAUUCUACCAAACGACCCCUUAAUGGGCUUUGACUGGGCUUCAUUGACACUUUUUGUAAGUUCAUUCAAAUCUCCAUUGAGUAACUUAUACUAAAAAUUACAUAUAUACCCAAGGUAGCUUUACCUUAUUACAUAAAAUCCCAUAUUGAAAAAGAAAUUAUAAAAAUUCCAAAGUAAUUACUUAAAUCUCUUAAAUUUACUCUUUCUCUUUCAUCCCCCUCAUACAUAUCAAAAUAUUAUUUUUUGCUCCUAUUUUAGUGCACUAAUUUUUGCUCCAUAUUUGUGCUCCUUCAUUUACGCCUAAAAUCAAGCUAACAUGAUCUGAAGAAUUUAAAAUUAUUGAGUUAUCAAUCAUUAACUGAACGAAGUUCACCUUUUCCUUCUUAUUUUCUGGAAAAAGAAAAACUCAGUUCAACAAAAAUCAUAGAAUGAUUAGAAAAUAAUUGUCAAGAAUCUAUUGGCAAAAAUAUAUUUACUUUGAAAUCAACACCACGUUUUUGCUGCUUCUUUGUUUGAGCUUUAGUUUUCACCAUUGUUAAUGGCGUAUGAAGGUUAAUAGGGUUUUGGGUUUAACGACGAGAUGUAAAAAAAACGUUAAUGAUAUUAUACUUUCCAAACUUUGCUUUAUUUGCUAUUUUUUUUAAAUUGAUUAACCCGUAAAGUAUAAAUUUUUUUGCAAUGAAGUCUGCUCACUUAUUGUUAUUCCCGUUGUUGGUUUCGUUCUUGGUUCUUUUGAUUAUGAAGAACCCAAUUUUGCAGAGAACCGUUCGAAGCACCGAAACGCUCCAGUAACAAUGAAGAAAUUGAGGAAAGUUGUCGGUUCAAGUUCAAACAAGAAAGCUUCAAAAUCGUCAAGUAAGAAAAAGGUUGAUGAUUCUGAACGACCACGUCUGCCGAAGAUUUAGUUAUCAUUAAAAUAUGUAUUAGCAGUUAUUCUAUGUACAAGAUUUCAUUAUACGUUUGUUAAGAUUAUAUAGUGAAUUGUAUAAGGUGUUCAUAUACAUGUAAAACAGUAUUAGAUUAUAUUUAUUACUUGUAUAAGGUUUACACACAUAUAUGAAACUGUUGUAUGAGAUUGCCUUUUAUUUGUUUUGGCAGUAUGAUUCUAUGUAUAAGAUUUCAUUAUACAUGUAUUAAUACUAUAUUAUUAAUUGUGUAAGGUUUACACGUACAUGAAAACUGUUGUAUUGUGCUGCAUUUUUUUUGGUUUUGUCUUUCUGCUUCUAUGUAUAAGAUUUCAUUAUACAUUGGUUCAGAUUAUGUACUGAUUUGUAUAAGAAGGUUAUACUUUCGAAACAAUUGCAUCACUUUUGUAGGAUUGAUAAAUAAUUUUUGACUCCCAAAUAUCGUAAUGACGCAACAAUAUGGGGAUGUUCAUAUUGAUUUUUUGAAGAAUUGAAGAAAGCAGAUGUUGACCUUUUUUUUCCAGAACGUAAUGCAACAAAGAAGAAAAUUAAUUGUGAUGUUUAAGAUAUAUUUUAAAUUUGAAUUUCAGUUACUAUAUUUAAUCAUACAUCACAUAAUGAUAAUUAAUUAAUGACGUUAAUUAAGGAAGAGAAAGAUAUUAUCUUUCUUCUUAUUUUCUGGAAAAAAAAACCUCAGUUCAACAAAAAUCAAAGAACGAUUAGAAAAUAAUUGUCAAGAAUCUAUUGGUAAAAAUAUAUUUACUUUGAAAUCAACACCAUGUUUUUGCUGCUUCUUUAAUUGAGCUUUAGUUUUCACCAUUGUUAAUGGCGUAUGAAGGUUAUCAGGGUUUUGGGUUUAACGGCGAGAUGUCAAAAAAAAAAUUAAUGAUAUUAUACUUUCCGAAACAAUAAUUGUAUCAUUUUUGUAGGAUUGAUAACUAAUUUUUGACUUCCAAAUAUCUGAAUGUCGCAACAAUAUGGGAAUGUUCAUAUUGAUUUUUAGAGAAUUGAAGAACGCAGUAGAAGAAUUUUUUAUUUUUUUGGCUGCUACAAAGAAGAAUAUUUUACCGUGCCAUUAAAGAAAAUAUUUGAAUUUAAAUUUCAGUUACUAUUUUUAAUCAUACACUACUUAAUGUUAGCUAAUUAAUGGCGUAAAUUAAGGAAUUGAAAGAUAAUAUCUGAUUUAUCUUACCUUAAAUAUAGGAUUAACAGUUUUAUCAUACAUUUGAACUAUGUAUGAGGGACUACCGAAUGUAUGAGUAAAUUUACCUAAUAUAAGAGAGAGAAAACAUUAAGGGAUUUUAUGUAACUAGUUUCACUAGAAUGGGAAUUUAUGUGGUUUUCACUAACUUAUAUGGAUUUCCCUUAAAGACCACUUUGUCUCAAGUAUUUCUCAAGUUUUUUGGGCCUAAACCAUGCCCAAUUCAGCACAUUCAAUGUGUAUAUCAGUAAAAUGGCAACACAUAUUGUUGCUAAUAUGUUGCUCAAGAUCUCCAUUUUUUCAGAAUGUCAACUCUUUCCUCAUAUGCUUCCUCUUAAUUGUUUCAUUACAUAUAUAAUAAGUAGAGGAAGUUAAGGAAAUCUUUCUUGCUAAUUUAAGUGGGGCGGGACGAUAGUCAAAUCUCUUUAUAAUAAAUGUUGUUUGUCCUAACAAAUAUUUUGCUGUCAUAAUGAAAUAUUGUUUGUUAUAAAGAAAAUAUAUAUAUAAAAAGAUUAGCUGUUAAAGUCAAAUAUUGUUACAAAGGUUGAUUAUUAUAGAAAAGUCUAAGUGUAUACGCUAAAUCUUUAUUGGCUGAAGUUUUAACCCUUUUAUCCCCAAGGCCCAAGGUCACGGCUCCCUCUAUGUCUAAGUAGAAAUUUAUGUUCGAGUUUGUGAAUGAAAAUAAUUCUUGUACGAAACAUUGGCCUUACAAAACGUAAACUCGGAUUAGUCUAAGAAUAAAUCAGGUGAGAAUAUUUUUUUACUUUUUAUUUUUAAGUUUUAACCAUCCAGAUAUGCUUGUUUAGUAGAGAAAUCUUGAUAGUUUAAUUGAUUAGAUAUCAAGGAUUUGAUUCUCACUUUGUAAUCGAAUCAUUAUUUCCUUUUCCCUCUUCCCUGUACAUAAUUAAAAAAUUAUUCAAACAAUUUUAAAAAUAUGCAUUUUUAUAUUUAUUUCAUUCUUUUCAAGUUUGGCCAUUUAAUAUUAAUUAAAUCAAUUCGCUAUUGUCAAACUCUUAUGCAAUAGUAUUAAAAAUUCAUCUUUUAUAUUAAUGAUUUGAAAAAAUAAAACUAAGAAAGGCCAUCUGCUUACUAUUGAGUUAAAAUAAGUUAUGGAAUAAAUAUUGUAUAAAUAUAAUGGCUCUUUUGCUUACUUUUUAAAAAAAAAAAAAAAAAAAAAAACUAAAUUAGACUAGUUCUGAAAUUUUGUCAUCUCUUAAUUCCAUCAAAAUGCUUGUUAGAACUCUUAAGGAAAUGACGAGUAUACCCAAGGUUCAUGGAUUAAAAAUUCAUGAGAUUUUAUAUUCAAAUUCCAACAAAAAUAAAAAUAUUAGGUUUCUUUUUCUAGUUUGUGCUAGUCUUUGAGGGCAAGUGUUACCUGGUAUCAAUGGAGGAGCCAGGAUUUUUAUUGAAGGGGUUCAGAAGUAAAUAUACGAACUAACUGGAGGAGGUUGAACGUCUAUUAUAUAUGCAUAAAAAAUAUUUUUAACCAUGUAAAAAUAGUAUAAAAACAAUAUAAUUUUUCGUCGAAGGGGUUCGAAUAAUGAACCCCUGGAGCAAAGGUAGCUCCACCACUACCUGGUACUUGGUGCUUGUAGGAGGUGACAGGUAUCUCAUAAAAUAAAUUGAGAUGCAUGCAAACUCGUCCGGACAUCACAAUUCUAAAAGAAAAAAAGCGUAUAAUCAACUAACGUUAAAACACUUUGGGGGUUAUUUUAUAAAAUAAACUUCAUAACCUAUUUUUAAAAUAAAACUAAUUCCAGAGGUGUUGACCACAUAUUUUUCUAAGAAUUUUUAGAAGAUAAAAAGAAUGUCAAGUUAAAUACUCCUUUGUUUCAAAUUGAUUGUCCAAUUUUGAUUCGGCACGAAUUUAAAAAGGUACAGAAGAUUUUAAAUCCUGUGGUAUUAAACUAAAGAUAUGUUAAAUGUAUCAAAAUAUCCUUUAAUCUUCUGACUUUAAACAUUGUCAUGUGAAAAGUUGAAAUUUAACAGUUGCCAAAAAGGAAAAGAGACAUUCUUUUCGAUAUUGACUAAAAAGAAAAGUAUGACAAGCAAUCUCGGUAGCUACAUCAUCCAUGGAAUUUAAAGAGCCGAAAGGAGCAUGAGUCAUAUUCUACGGAGUGCCGCUCCUGCCAAGGUCAUAUGUCUUCUUUCAACCUACUCAAAUCUAACUCAUUUGGACCCUUUAAGGCUCUAACCAUGGAGCAUACAGAUCCCAAAAAAGCAUAGUUUCUCCUCCAAGAACGCCAUUGAGACAGAGUUGGUAUCUUUUCCAUAGAGGAUAAGACGGGUAAAUUUCACCCAUGGUCACUUAAUUUUCCAUCUAUUACCCAAAAAUCAUUUUUCUUUCAUUCAUUUCAUUCAUGAUCACUUAACUUUGUAUCUAUUACGCAAAAAUCACUUUUCAUUCAUUCAUUUCAUCCGUGGUCAUUUAACUUUACUCCAACCAUCACAAAAGUCACUAUGACCGGAUUUUACAAUAAUUUCAUCAGAAAAAUGUUGUGCCAACCUUAAUUAGUUCUUAAUUUUAAUUUAAGUGAAUAUAUAAUAUAUUACUCAUAUCUUGACCUUUUUUAUAUAUGCACAAUCUAAUUUUCUUUAUGGAUUAUUUAAUGAAAGAAUACCAAUUUCUUAAUAGAUUAGAUUACCUAAUGAAGACUAUUUUCAUAAAAAAAAAAUUGGUUGAUAUUUUUAUGAAAUAAAAUUAUACUUAUGUAUUCUUAAAAUCCUCUAAAGUUGAGACAUGUGCUGGUAAAUUAUUUUUUUCACUAAUAUAUUAUGGCAUGUAGUUGAUAAAAUUAUUUUUUCCCCUCUAAAAUUGUGACAUGUCGUUGAUAAUUUUUUUUUUUAUACAUUCUUUUUCUUGCCACUUGAGUCUUUGUAUUCGGUAUAUCAUAAUAAUAUGAUAAACUACUCUAUUUAUUGAGUUUGUCUUUGUAUUUUUAAUUGUUUGACUAAUCAAUUAAUUCUCUUAAAAGUUUUUAUUAUAAUAUUCAAUUUCUGAUAAAUUACAAAUUGGUUAAUUAAUUUAAUUGAUAAAUAUAAGAAUUAGAUAUCCUAUAAUUUCUUUAUCUAUUAAAGUACUUAUAUUUUAUAACUUUUCAACAAAAAUGUACGAUAAUAUAACAUUAUUUGUACAAAUUUUGACAAUACUUAUUCAAUGACAUAAUUAAAAAGAUUUUAUUCUACCUUUAGCAUGUUGAUUUAUCUUCAAAGAAUUAAAAUAAUUUUUUUUCAAAAAAUAAUAUCAUACAUGUAUUUCUAUUUUAUGUGUUUUGAAGAAUUUAUCUUGCUUAUCACUCUUUUUCGAUGCACCUUUUUGGCAGAUGAAUGUAAUAUUAUGAAAUGUUUUAUAAAAAUAUCAACCAAACAAAUAAUCUUCGUUAGGCAAUCUAAUCUAUUAAGAAAUUGAUAUUCUUUCAUUAAAUAAUCCAUAAAGAAAAUUAGGUUAUGCACAUAUAAAAAAGGUCAAGAUAUGAGUAAUAUAUUAUAUGUUCACUUAAAUUAAAGUAAAGAACUAAUUAAGGUUGCCACAUCAUUUUUUCGAUGGAAUUAUUGUAAAAUCCGGUCAUAGUGACUUUUGUGAUGGUCGGAGUAAAGUUAAAUGACCAUGGAUGAAAUGAAUGAAAGAAAAGUGAUUUUUGCGUAAUAGAUACAAAGUUAAGUGAUCAUGGAUGAAAUGAAUGAAGGAAAAGUGACUUUUACGUAAUAGAUACAAAGUUAAGUGACCAUGGAUGAAAUUUACCCAGGAUAAGACAUAAAUGAGAGAAGUAUAUACAAGCCAAAGAAAACAAGAAAGUACAUAGCACUUGAGAAAAAUAGCAGUAGUUGUUUUGGUUGAUUCCCUGUAUAUGGACAAACCAAAAUGAACAUAGAGAUGCAUUAAUAGUAUGGUGCAAAACUUAUCUUUUUCUCGACCAAGCAUCCUAUAUGAAGUUCAAUUGAGAAAACCUAUGAAUACAAGUAUUCUUCUGGAUAUUCCGUUUUAAAGUUUGCGCAUAAGCAGAGGAGCACCAUACUGAGGAUGAAUAGUCACUACAGCAAAUGGAGCAUGUGUAUAAGAUGGAGAGAGUUCGAAGGAGAACUUUUGUAGUAUCAUUGCCAUUGCCAUUUUUGCUUCCAUCAUUGCAAAGUUUUGUCCAAUGCAAAUUCGAGGUCCCCCGCCAAAUGGAAUAUAUGAGAAUUGUCCUUUGGUUGCCUUUGACACUCCUUCACUAAAUCUUUCUGGUUUGAAUUCCUUUGCGUCUUCACCCCAUAUUUCCUUAUCAUAAUGUACUAAGAUUGCGGGUAUAAUGAGUAUCA
rnacentral:lncRNA from 1 species